GCAGACUCACUCUGUGCCUGCCUGCUCCUCUUCAGUCUUGCACUUUUUAAGUCUGCUAGAUUACUUUUUCAGAAUGUCGCAAACACCUUUUUUUCUGUGUAAAAAGUUGUUACUAUCGUUUCUGGAACAUUUUA